rnacentral:rRNA from 1 species
GAUGAACGCUGGCGGCGUGCCUAAUACAUGCAAGUCGAGCGAACGGACGAGAAGCUUGCUUCUCUGAUGUUAGCGGCGGACGGGUGAGUAACACGUGGAUAACCUACCUAUAAGACUGGGAUAACUUCGGGAAACCGGAGCUAAUACCGGAUAAUAUUUUGAACCGCAUGGUUCAAAAGUGAAAGACGGCCUUGCUGUCACUUAUAGAUGGAUCCGCGCUGCAUUAGCUAGUUGGUAAGGUAACGGCUUACCAAGGCAACGAUGCAUAGCCGACCUGAGAGGGUGAUCGGCCACACUGGAACUGAGACACGGUCCAGACUCCUACGGGAGGCAGCAGUAGGGAAUCUUCCGCAAUGGGCGAAAGCCUGACGGAGCAACGCCGCGUGAGUGAUGAAGGCCUUCGGAUCGUAAAACUCUGUUAUUAGGGAAGAACAUAUGUGUAAGUAACUGUGCACAUCUUGACGGUACCUAAUCAGAAAGCCACGGCUAACUACGUG